rnacentral:rRNA from 1 species
UCAGUUAUCGUUUAUUUGAUUGUACCUUUACUACUUGGAUAACCGUGGUAAUUCUAGAGCUAAUACAUGCGAAAAGUCCCGACUUCUGGAAGGGAUGUAUUUAUUAGAUUCAAAACCAAUGCGGUUCUGC